CGUGGAUGAGGCUGGGCAAUGCGGCCUGGCUUCUCGGAGACUACUGGGUGGCUUACAGAUGUUUCACUGAAGCUGCUCAUGAGGCUGGUUUCGUCGAUACCAUUAAGGAACUCAGCGAGCAAGAGGGUGACCCACAAGAGGUAGAGGCCGACAAGGAGGCAGGCAGAGAACGCACAGCGG
rnacentral:snRNA from 14 species